rnacentral:lncRNA from 1 species
GCCUAGUCAACUGAGUGGGGUCUGGGGAGGGAUGGCCUGGAUUUAAAUCUCUGUUCCUCGGCUUGCUGGCCUCAUCACGUGAGAAGGUUGGGUAACUUCUGUAAACCGAAGCUUCCGGAUUUAGAAAACGGGAUUAAAAUUGCACAUACCUCCCCAAGGGUUUUGUGAGGAGGAAGGAGGAGAAUGAAGGUAAAGCCAGCUGCUGCACCAGAGGCUGGCUUCAGUGGAGCUGCCAGCCCGUAAGAGGCAGGGUCUCCAAGCCCAGCUGGAGGCGGUGGUCAGAGUGUGCAGGCCCAGGCAGGCCUGCGCAGAGCAACAGAGCACUUGGCCUUGAAGGGACCAUCUGAUGAGGCUUGUAGCUUGUGGUGAGGAGGCAGGUUAGGGCCCGCGUGGCCUCCCCGGAGCAGAGGAGCCGCAGGGCGGCCGACAGAAGCUCCUCUGGAAAAGGAAUCCAUCCAGCCUGGUUCUGAACCCAAAACAGUCUCCCUCCCUUGGGACAGGAGGAGCAUGGCGGCCCCUCUGCAUGACGCAGACUCCUAGACCAAGGGCAGCCUUCUGCAGAGGCUUCCUGAAGCCCACCUUUACAUCUCCAAGGCCAAAGUCCAAACUCCUUGGCCUGGCAGCCAGGUCCCUUACCACCUGGGCCUGCCUGGCUCUGUGAAACCGAGCCCCUGUAGCUCCUCUGCCUCCCCUCACCUUCCCUUCGUGCUGGCUGGUCUCUGCACCGGGAAGUGCACUUGCUUCCACACCUCCAGGCCCAGUGGUUCCAGAACUUCAGUAAAUACGAGGCUCCUUCAAAGAGAAAAGGCUGAUACAGCUCAAGCCUAUCAAGCCAAGCCCGGCACUUGUGGAGUCCCCGCCAGGACUUGAACGCCAUCUCGUCCUCCAAACUGGGCUUGGCAUUAUUAUUAGCUCCAUUCUGCAGCUGGGGUUUCUGAAGCCAAAGCCAAAGAGCUGGCUCCUUUGUGUUGUAACAAGGUUUGACAGGAAUCACGGGGCCCAGAAGACCACCAGGAAGCAGGGACAGCAUCCCCAGAGGGUAGAAGCCCACAGCUCACAGCUGCAUCCCGAGGAUGACAAGUCCAGUCCCCUCAGCUUCCUGCCUGAGAAAGCUCAACACUGUCAGGAGAAUUGACUGUUUGUUCGAGCCAAAACUUGGUGAUGGGAGAUGGGCCCUGAACCCCAUCUUACAGCAGAGAGAGCCAGUCUCCACCCCUCCAGGACCGAAUCUGUCGUGAAGCGGGUUGUCGGUUGCUGCCACCUCCUUCUCAACAGCACGUAUCUCCCAAGUCCCAGGGCACACUCCGGCCUCCCCACUGCGUGCAAGGACCUUGGGUGCCGGGAGCAGGAGCUCGGCAACCAGAAAUCUCAGCUUUGGGCCGUGCAUGGAGAGGCUGGGUGAUGAACUGGGUCAAGGAUGGGCCCCCAGCGCUGGCGCACGGUUCCUCCACCCCUACCCCUUCCAGCAGCCUCUCUCUGCCUGGACAUCUGCAGGCCAAGGAGCCCAGCGCUUACCCCCUCCCUGUGCUGCACAGACCACUCAGGGGUCCCGUGGGUUCCUGCUGUGACUGGCCCAUGCAGGUCCUCUUGCACCCCAGCAGUUUUGCAGACGAAACAACAUGCAGAGAAGCAAACGGGAAAAAAGGCAAAUGGUAUCAGUGCUUCUGCUAUGUGUCAGUCACUGCAUCACCUUAUUAAUCCUACAACGUGCCGUGUGUCAGUCACUACACCAUCUUAUUAAUCCUACAACGUGCCGUGUGUCAGUCACUACACCAUAUUCUUAAUCCUACAACAUGCCAUGGGUCGGUCACUACACCACCUUAUUAAUCCUACAACAUGCCAUGUGUCAGUCACUACACCAUCUUAUUAAUCCUACAACAUGCCGUGUGUCAGGUCACUUACACCAUUUUGUUAAUCCCCUACAACAACCACCUCUUUAUCAAGGAAUAAACCAGAGCCUGGACUAGGUCAAGUUCCCAAGGUCACACAGCUGAUAGAGGGCCA